rnacentral:rRNA from 1 species
GGUGAGGUAACGGCUUACCAAGGCGACGAUCUGUAGCGGGUCUGAGAGGAUGAUCCGCCACACUGGAACUGAGACACGGUCCAGACUCCUACGGGAGGCAGCAGUGGGGAACUUUGGACAAUGGGCGCAAGCCUGAUCCAGCCAUGCCGCGUGAGUGAAGAAGGCCUUCGGGUUGUAAAGCUCUUUCGGCCGGGAAGAAAUCGCAUGGGUUAAUACCCUGUGUGGAUGACGGUACCGGAAUAAGAAGCACCGGCUAACUACGUG